rnacentral:rRNA from 1 species
CCUACGGGUGACAGCAGUGGGGGAUAUUGCACAAUGGGGGAAACCCUGAUGCAGCGACGCCGCGUGGGUGAAGAAGUAUUUCGGUAUGUAAAGCCCUAUCAGCAGGGAAGAAAGAAGACGGUACCUGACUAAGAAGCCCCGGCUAACUACGUGCCAGCAGCCGCGGUAAUACGUAGGGGGCGAGCGUUAUCCGGAUUCACUGGGUGUAAAGGGAGCGUAGACGGCCGUGCAAGCCAGGAGUGAAAGCCCGGGGCCCAACCCCGGGACUGCUCUUGGAACUGUGCGGCUGGAGUGCGGGAGGGGCAGGCGGAAUGCCUGGUGUAGCGGUGAAAUGCGUAGAUAUCAGGAGGAACACCGGCGGCGAAGGCGGCCUGCUGGACCGCGACUGACGUUGAGGCUCGAAAGCGUGGGGAGCGAACAGGAUUAGAUACCCGUGUAGUC